AAAUAAGACACAAAUUAUUGUAUUUAGUUUCGACCUAAAAGUUUGGUAUAAAAAUACCCUUAUUUA
rnacentral:tRNA from 1 species